rnacentral:rRNA from 1 species
UCUGAGUCAUCGAGUCUUUGAACGCACAUUGCGCCCGCCAGCAUCCUGGCGGGCAUGCCUGUUCG